AGCGCGAACGAGCUCUGGAGAGACAGUGGCUGCGAGAAUAUUGAAAUUUGUGAAUAUCUUCUGGCUCCUAAUUUUGCACCCCUGGCAAUUAUGCAGAAGAUGAUCAGAAAUGGAAAAAGAGCAGGAGGGUACCCAGGGCUUUGUGAAUAGGUAUUAACAACUGGUUUGUUGUUACUGGGUUUUUUGUUUGUUUGUUUUUUUAAGGAAACCAGAAUGUAUCUAUUUUAAGCUCUCCUUCCCUAUAGUUAUCUUGUCUUGCUGCAUUAUCCACUUAAUUUAUCAUUGUUGGCCAGGCGCGGUGGCUCACGCCUGUAAUCCCAGAACUUUGGGAGGCUGAGGCGGGCAGAUCACGAGGUCAGGAGAUCGAGACUAUCCUGGCUAACAUGGUGAAACCCCAUCUCUACUAAAAAUACAAAAAUUAGCCAGACAUGGUGGUGAGUGCCUGUAGUCCCAGCUACUCGGGAGGUUGAGGCAGGAGAAUGUCAUGAACCCGGGAGGUGGAGGUUGCAGUGAGCCGAGAUCGUGCCACUGCACUCCAGCCUGGGUGGACAGAGCGAGGCUCCAUCUCGAAAAAAAAAAAUUAUCAUUGUUGUUGACAAUAAAUGUUUUUGGAAGUAAUUUGGAACUGUUGGUUUGCAAAUCACAUAAUAAAAGCCCUCACUUUACUGUAGAGUCACACUUAACAUUAGACAAAACUAUAUAUCUAGAUUGAUAACUAGACCGAACUAGGUGGCUUUUGGCCAUUGCUACAAAUUAAAUCCAACCUGGAAAAAAUAUUCAGGCUGUAAAGGCAGUUCCAAAAGCUGUCUCCAAAAAUCGUUUGGGACAACAAUGUCUCAUUCUUUUUGUCUUCCAUGGUGCUUUGCCUAACUCCUCGAAGAUAGCUCAAACUCAGAAAAUGUUUAUCUGGUUGAGUCACUUUAAUAAAAAUAGUCUUGUUA